GCAGGUCCCUGUUUUCCCCCAGAGGAUAUGAUAUGAUAUUUGCAGCUCAUCAUUGCGUGCCAACAACCACUCCAGAGGAACCACCUCACAACCUCUGUUCUUGAAGCGAGGGGAGCAAGCGAAUAAUCCUUCUCCUUUCCACGAGAAAUACGAUCGAGUAGUGGCCGGCGAUGUCGUCCGCUGAGGGGAGGAAGACGGCAUGCGUCACCGGAGGGAGCGGCUACAUCGCGUCAGCUCUCAUCAAGCUGCUCCUCCAGAAAGGCUACGCCGUCAAGACGACCGUUAGAGACCCCGAUGACAUGGAGAGGAAUUCCCACCUCAAGGACUUGCAAGCACUUGGCCCCUUGGACAUCACCCGUGCCCGGCUGGACGAAGAAGGCAGCUUCGACGACGCAGUUUCCGGCUGCGACUAUGCCUUCCUCGUCGCCGCUCCGAUGAACAUCGGCUCAGCAGAUCCUGAGAGAGAUAUGAUCGAGCCGGCCGUCCAAGGAACACUCAACGUGAUGAGGUCGUGCGUGAGAGUGGGGACGGUGAAGCGGGUGAUCCUGACGUCAUCGGACGCCGGCGUGUCGAGGAGGCCGCUGCAGGGCGGCGGCCACCUGCUAGACGAGGGCUCCUGGUCCGACGUCGAGUACCUCAGAGCCAACAAGCCACCAACUUGGGAAUACGCGGUGUCCAAGGUGCUUCUGGAGAAGGCGGCGAGCAAAUUCGCGGAGGAGAAUGGCAUCAGCCUCGUCACCGUGUUGCCCGUGUUCACGCUGGGUGCCGCUCCUGUCUCCAAGGCCAGGACCAGCGUCCCCGUCACCCUCUCCCUGUUGUCUGGUGACGAGACGCAGCUGAACAUCAUGAUAGGCCUGCAGUCAGUCACCGACUCGGUGUCGAUAUGCCACGUGGAUGACCUUUGUCGGGCCCAAGUGUUUGUAGCCGAGGCCGAGUCCUCGGUGGGCAGGUACAUCUGCUGCAGCCACAACACCACCGUCGUGCAGCUUGCCCGUCUCCUAGCUGAGAAGUACCCACGAUACAAUGUGAAACCUGAACGCUUUGUUGGGUCCCAAGAGAAGCCAAGAGUGUGUUUAUCGUCUCAGAAGCUCAUCACGGAAGGGUUCAAGUUCAAGCACGAUGAUUUAAGUGAGAUCUUCGACGACCUUGUUGAAUACGGCAGGACCACGGGGAUCCUUCACUACGUGCUCAACGCGAGGUGGGACGUGGUGGUGGUCGACAGGCCGAGCGGGGCAGGUCCCGGGGAGCGGGCGAGGAUGGGCGCCAUAUACACCAUGGCCGCACUCGCGUGCGCGACGAGGGGCGAAGUGGUGGGCGUGGCGGUCCAUGAGAUGAACCAGACGACGAAAGAUCUAACGCCACCGCCAAUCUUCUCCACCCAGCGGGGCCAUGGCUGCCGGCCGACGAGCGCCUCACCGCGGCUGCUGGCCGACAAGCUCGCCGACGAGAGCCCUGCCGAAGCCGUCCCCCCUUCGACCUUCUCUGCCACUAGAGAGGUACUGAUCGAGAUGUCGGCGGCCGAGGGAAGGAAGACGGCGUGCGUCACCGGAGGGAGCGGCUACAUCGCUGCAGUACUCAUCAAGCUGCUGCUCGAGAAAGCGGUCAAGACGACCGUCAGGGACCCCGAUGACAUGGAAAAGAACUCCCACCUCAAGGAGUUGCAAGCACUUGGCCCCUUGGAGGUCAUCGGAGCCCAACUGGACGUAGAAGGUAGCUUCGACAAAGCAGUUUCUGGCUGCGAUUACGCCUUCCUUGUUGCUGCUCCGAUGAACAUGGAUGCAGCAGAUCCUGAGAAGGAUAUGAUCGAAGCCGCCGUCCAAGGGACUCUCAACGUGAUGAGGUCGUGCGUGAGAGCCGGGACGGUGAAACGGGUGGUCCUGACGUCUUCGGAUGCCGCGGUGUCCAGGAGGCCGUUGCACGGUGGCGGCCAUGUGCUGGACGAGGGCUCAUGGUCCGACGUCGAGUACCUCAGAACAAACAAGCCACCGAUUUGGGCGUAUGCGGUCUCGAAGGUGCUUCUGGAAAAGGCGGCGAACAAAUUCGCGGAGGAGAACGGCAUCAGCCUUGUCACCGUGUUGCCUGUGUUCACCUUGGGUGCCGCGCCGCUCUCCAAGGCCAAAACUAGCGUGCCCCUCACCCUCUCCCUGUUGUCCGGCGACGAGACAUUCCUGAACAUGCUGAUAGGCCUGCAAUUGAUUACCGACUCCAUGGCGAUAAGCCACGUUGAAGACCUAUGCCGCGCCAAGGUGUUCCUGGCCGAGAAUGAGUCCUCCUCCGGCAGGUACAUCUGCUGCAGCCACAACACUACAGUCCUGCAGCUCUCCCGUUUCUUGGCAGAGAAGUAUCCACAAUACAAUGUGCAACCUGAACGCUUUGAUGGAUCCCCGGAGAAGCCGAAAGUGUGUCUGUCGUCUGACAAGCUCAUCGGGGAAGGGUUCGUGUUCAAGUAUAAUGACCUGGGUGAGAUCUUUGACAACCUCGUCGAGUAUGGCAGGACCACAGGGAUUCUUCCCUACUGAUAUAUACGCCAGCUGACGAUCAGUAUGUGGUCGAAACAAAAUAUUGUUGUCUCAAAUACGCAUAAAGCCCCGUUCUUGUGUUUUGGUAAAAUAAGAUGUUAGUACCCCCGAUAUUUGUCAAAAAGCAAAUUAGAUAGCAAAAAAUCUCGAUCUUUGGGGGUUUUGUAUCACCAAAUAACUUUUAAGAUUAAGAGCUGGCGGUUUCCACCCACCUAAA